rnacentral:lncRNA from 1 species
CAUCCAUCUACUUUUCAAAAGUAGCUCUUUGCUCAGCAGUAGGACGAUUUGGUAACACUAUGGGUUCUUAGUUGAGUACAUGAUCUAAUUUUUCUGAGGUCAGGACAAUCUUGAGGUUGCUGAGCUAAUCUUUGUAAUUAGUUGCGGUCAAAUGAUUGGUUUCAAGUAUGUGGGUUAAAGGGUUUGAGGCUGACACUGUUUAACUGCGAGAGUAAAGAUUCAAAUUAGACUUUUAUAUUUUAAUGUUAUCUUUGC